CUAUGCCACAGCCACACAGCAACACAGGAUCCAAGCCUUGUCUUCGACCUACACCACAGCUCACAGCAACACUGGAUCCUUUAUCCAACGAGUGAGGUCAGGGAUUGAACCCAUGUCCUCAUGGAUACUAGUCGGGUUCAUUAUUGCCAGGCCACAAUGGGAACUCUCUUCAGGAGCAUUCCUCUGUAUUUUUUUUUUUUUUAAGGGCCACACCUGUGGCAUAUGAAAGUUCCCAGGCUAGGGGUCAAAUUAGAGCUGCAGCUGCCGGCAUACACCACAGCCACAGCAAUGUGGGAUCUGAGCUGUGUCUGCAACCUACACCACAGCUCACGGUAAGGCUGUAUCCUUAACCCACUGAGCGAGGACAGGGAUUGAACCCAUGUCCUCAUGGAUACUAGUCGGAUUCAUUACUGCUGAGCCAUGAUGGGAACUCCAGGACCAUGUCUUAAUCUCAGUGAUCCUCCAGUUCCUACGUUUAAAUCAGGGUAAUAGCACCUGCCCAAGAUUAUUAGAGGCAUUAAAUGAGACAAUGUUUGGGAAAUUCAUGAAAAUUUCAAUAAAUAUAAAUGAUGGCAUUUCUAGGAGGUGGCUUAAAAAAAAAAAGAGCAGAAAGGAGGGGCAGCAGCAGGGAGGAAUCUAAAGAAAAAAACGUGUAACAGGUCUAGCGAGAUCAUCUAGGUAUUCAUGGUAGGCUUCCACACCUGAGCACGGAAUGAUUUCUUUCUAUGUCCCCCUCUUGUCGAUUUUGAGCCUAAGUGUCCUUAUUACCCCCUUUUCCCACUAACAUACCAUGUUCCUUCCUACCAAAUACCACCACCAAUACUACCACCAGCAGUUCCUGGGACUCCGUUUAUUCUUGUUUCAAUUGUUAAAUACCCUCUCUUUCCCUGUGUCCCAUGUAAAUCUCACCCAUUCUUCAACCUUCAUAAUAAGUCCCACCUGUAUCUAUAAUGCCUUUGAGUAAACCAGCUCACAUCCAUCCUUCUCCAGGUCUCUCCCUAGUGCAUUAAGAGUGCCUAUGUCAUUCCUCAGUGCUUUAUCUCCAAAUUCUUCACACAUGUACACCUGGUCCCCUAUCUAGAAUGUGGGGAGAACCCCAUACCUUAGAGGAGCCAAGUCUGGGUUAUAAUAAAACAUGAGGGGUUGGCAGAGAAGAGGAGUGGUAGCAAGUGUAUGAAAGGAAAGUAAGAUUGACUAGUCUGCCAAGAAAACAAAACCAUACAAUGAGAAAUGAUAUGAGAAAAUGAGAUAAUCAAUUUCCGAAGGCUCAAAGAUUCUGUGGUGGUUGAACAUGACAUAUUAUGAAGAGGGCACAGGGUAAUGUUUCAAAGAUGGGUGGCAAGUAAGGAACCCGGCUUCCAAAAUGAAUAUACCAAGUGACUAUCACUGAAUGAGAAAGUCAAGAAGAAAGGAAAUGGAGACCAGAUGGAAAAAGAACCACCAGGGUGAUCAAACAACAUUUUGCUGAGCACUCAGUUCUUCCAGGAUUUGGGAACUGUUCUAGGUACAUGUUUGGGGCACACAAGGUGGGGAGGGAGUUCAGAGAGUACUAACCAGCAUCAGUGCUUGCAAGGCUUGGCAGUCCACACAGGGCGAUGAAACACAUAUGACGAUUUAACCACAGAUAUAAAUUAGCAUGUGACAAGCGCCAAAUGAGCACCGCAAGACAGAUGGAGGGGAGAUUGCUACAUGCUAAUGUAGUCAGGGGCAGGGGCACUUUCUCAGACAGAACCUGCUGUCUUAAAGGAUAGGAGAAAGGCCUGGGAUACCAGGUCCAGGGGUGGAAACCUGUACAGAGAUGGAAGUGAAAUUUGCCAGAUAUGUGGGUGGGAUUAGCAGAGAAAUCUUGCUAAAGCGAGACUGGUUGGGAUGGUGGAAGGGGAUGGAUUUGCAAAAGUAGACUGAAAAAUAGAAAGAUUCCAUAGAAAAGGAGAGAUAAGUUUGAAAGGAAUUUAGGUAGAGUGAGAGAAGAGGAGAAGCAAAAUGAAAGGAAAAGAAACUAAAGGGAAGAAAAAUGAUGUUACCAAGCAUUUAUCACCAUAAAAAAGUUAAAUUUUAAAUGUGUGGAUGGGAAUUAAAUGUAACAGAUAAUACAUUAUUUUUUCCUGAUUAGGGAAGUCUUUAAAAAAAAAAGAGGUCAGUAUUGACUCAACUGCAGCAAGAAGCAUAAUCUGAAAUAUUAGAGCUGGAAAGAUACAUCUUUCUUGGGAAGCAAUCUAGCAAUAUGUACAGUGGUCCUUUAAAAGGCACAGUAGUUCCCAUAAAGGAUGCUAACUUGAUAAAACCAUCAGGAAGAUGGAAAAAACAUUCAUGCUCAAAGAUGCUCUUUAACGCACACUGCUUACCUAACACAAUAAACCACCACCAACACAAUCAGCACAGCAGAAAAACCUACAGGGAGAUUACUAUGCACGACCCUAAAGAUGAUGCAUAGGAUUGUCCCCCUCACAUGUCAUUAUCUACGAGAAGGGAAUUUUAGAAGUCCUUUCCACAUUGUUUUUUCCGGAGAAGGCAGAAGAAUAAAUGUUUCCUUUACUCUGGAUCUUGAUGUCCCUAGAAAGCCUAAAUUCCAGGGAAUACCUUAACUCGUCUCUUUCCUCCCUUCUUACUCUCCUCCCACCAACACCCCCUUCACCACCAGCACCAUCUCUCUCUCUUUAGUACACGGCUGCCUCUUCAAUGCUGCCCUCAGAUCAAGAUGGUAACAUGGUCUUGGAUUUCUGUACUUUAUGGAAGAGUGGUACCCUCCAUUCACGAAGGAACUCAAACAUUUUAAAAGUGCAACCCAAUUUCAAGUGCACGUUUAGGGUAGUUACAAACACAGGCAAACAACUGCAUGUGUGGUAUCACAGAGAAGAGAAAGCCCACUAUAUCCGAAGUCAACAUGAUGCUCCUUUAAAAUGACAUGCGAUGAACUGCUUUCUCAGAGCAAACACUCAGUCCAUGCCAGGGCUGGGGCAGGAAGCAGAAGCCAGCAACAGCCCACCACUGGAGAGGGGGAAACGGUGGUGAUAACUCUAAAUGUGAAAGAGAGAGGCUUGACAUUUUUCAAUGACCAAACCAGGCAAUUAAAACAUUAAAUGUGAAAUCUGAGGCACUGGAAAUUUCCUAAUAUGGUAAAAGGGCUGAGUUUCCCAAAUGGUGUUUUCUCAUCUUUCAGCAUAUCAAAGAGCAUGCCAAAACCCCAAAGAAACAUUUCCAUUUUGAAAACAAAAAUAAACCACACACAUCCACAUUCUAUUAAUAGUGUUGUGUUGCCUUAACGACCUUGCAUCCUUAGGGGGAGAGAAAAAGUCACCGUUUAUGCAAAUUUUAACGUAAGUGAAAACUUCCAUACAAAAGCAACUGGACCAGUGGGGGUGAGUUAGGAGGGACUGGGGCAAAAGCAAUCAAAUCCCUUCUAUGUUUUCCUUACUGGAGACCAAAUGUUAUGCUCCUCGUGGUCAGACUUCAAGACUUUGUAAACACAUUCUACAUCUUUAGCAGCAUUUCUUAAGAGUGUAAACAAGGAAAGCUGGCAUUAAGACACACAGGUUCAAGCCCACUCCACCAUGUUUGGAGAUCCAAGACAGAGGGACCCAGCUUAGAACUGAAAACCCAAGCAGACUGUCCAGAAGUCAAAGACCUGUCAAAGUUCUCAAAAUCCAGACUAUCAAUUCCUGCUCCUGCCACCGGGAAGAGGAAAAACGCUCUCCGGUGGCAUCUUAUGUGUAGAGACAGAAAAAUGCCCCUGAAUGUGGUUCUUUGCUUCCUCAACUUAAAUACCAAGAGCUGCUGCCUAGGUGCUCAGCCGAGUCCAUCACUCGGGGUGAGAGCCAUGCAAAGUACAGGACAUAGAAGCUGCCCACAAGACGCCUCCAUUUCUGAGGGAAGAAAAGAACACAAAACAGCGAGAGGGAACAACAAAGGAUCGCUUAUUCUAUCCUGAAAGUGUGACCACGCAAGUAAAAUGUCAGUUCAACCCCAAGUCUUUGGGAGAAAGGAGUCCUUAUCGCCUGCCUGCAUGGACCAGCUUAAACCUCUGUUUAAGAGAAAAGGGGUAGGAUGUCUCCACCAGGGAGAAUAGGAAAACCAGAGCCAGACCCACAAGCCCACCCCGAUCAGGUGAGGUGAGGAGGAACGAAGAGCAUGGACUCGGAACACCAACUCCGAUGAAACUGGGAAGAAACGAAAGCAAAGAUCACCUCUCUUACACCAGCAGAUCCGAGUUGAAAGCCUAACCCCGCUAAGUCUGUGCACUGGGCAUGCUCAUUGUUGACCUGCUUUUCUAUUCCCCUGCACAAGCAUUUAUCCCAUACUGUCUGGCAGAAGCUCUUCCUUACAGUUCUAUAAGCAUUUAUCACAACAACACAAUUGAGUGGGGUCCUGUUAUUAUCCCCCCCCCCUUACAAACAGGGAAACCAAGGGAGCAGGUAGUCGGAUACUUUGAAGGUGACAAAGUUCUAACUCAAACCUGGGGGAUAUGGCUUCCAGCAUCUGAGCUCCAAAGUGCUUUGCUGCCUCAUCUACGAAAUGCUUUCUUUUCCAGGCCAUGGUGUUGAUGCAGUGACAUGUGGUAACAGCACCCAGCACAGUGCCUGACAUUUAGCAGAGGCUGAGUCAUCUCCCUCCUCCCACUGCUCCCUGACUCCCUCUCACCACUCUGUGGAAGGCUGGAGGCAAGAUUCUGCACACAGAUAAAGGCAGCUGUGCCAACGUCAGUGUGCAAAGGCCCAGGGGCUCCGGGGCAAGCCAGCAAACCACCCUCUGUCUUUAUGCCCUGAGGCCUGGAACAAGAGCUCUAACUCCAGCAGAGAUGCCCAGCAUUUCCAGACAGGAGCUGCCUCUACUUAUUACAAACUGCAUUCAAGGCAUGGGCUUUGGAGACAAGCCUGGGGGAAACUGAAAGACUUCUGAUUUCUAUACUAGGAGCUGAAUAUGUAGAUGUCAACACCAACACCACACCACACACACACACACACACACACACAAAAACACCUAACACUUACACCAUACCCACCACUGAGGGAAAAUGACCUACUUUCCAGAACUUUCCAUUGCCUAGAAACUCCCAGUGUCUGCAUCAAACUGCAGCUCUCUUUAAGGCAGUCCAGACAGUGAUGGUGAGCUAAAGGACAGAGUCCUGAGUCCCUUUUGAAAAUUAUUAAGAACAAAUUAGGCCCAGGGGCCCUGGGGAGCCUGUGUCAUAAAACAUGAGAAAAUUGUGUCUUCCAGUCCUCUGGCAGUAUUUUCAUGAACUGGUGACAACUGAAUAGAAGAUAGAGAUUAUUUUUGUAUCUUGACCUUAGUCUAAAAUGCUAUUGAGAAAGCUGCACCUUACCAGUUAAGGGACUUACCUAGCUGUGAAAUAGUGACCCACGCAGUAUAGGAAGUUUAAUACAUUCAAAAAGUUCCAAGUGCACAACCAGUACAAUUUACUAAAGUAAGAGGCGACCAGGCGGGGAUGCUGCCUACACACUUGCUCACUUUUUCGUCCAUUAACAAAAAGUUCUAUUUUAUGCCAAGGCAACAUAAGAAUAUUAUUUUAUUGCACCAAGAAUGCCACCACCAUGAAGCAUGAGAGCUGUUGUUCUGACCCUAAAAAGGAGCUAACGUGGUUUAAAAGUAAUUAAGAAGGAAAGCUGACUCUCUAUGUUUUGCGCCUCCGUCAGCGUGGCUACUGGGUUCCCUGCAGCCUGCCAAAGUCGGCAAAAUGACAGUGCUUGUAACCACCCGAUUUCUAAAACUGUAAGCUUCUAUUGUGAAGAAGCUUGAUUUUCUGCUUUAGAAAUCCAUCACCUGCCGGUCGGUCCUCGUGGCAUAUUGCUAAGAGACACCACAAAGGGCCCAGGUGCACGCAUGGGGAAUCAAGUUCUUCUCUCCUUUUAAUUACAGGUCGGCAACCGUCAGGGGGAUGGUGGAGAAACUGCCUCCCUAAAACGUUCAUUAGAGAUGGCAAUUUGCUAGCGGGGAAACAAAAACGGCCUCCUUCAACUCACUCAUCUGCAGAAGCCCCCCCCCCC
rnacentral:lncRNA from 1 species